ACCAGAUUGGGGAAGCAACAUCUUCUGCCAAGACUUAGUGAAGGAACUUCCUGCUAUAAAUACAGCUCCCACGGCCUGUUCCUUAGAGAUGAGGCAACAUCAAAGCAAUGUUUCAAACAGUCUCUGAUAGCACCAAACAUGGGUCCUUCAAAUCACCUCUGGUUCACAGUUUGGCCUAGACACAGAAAGUGUGCAGGCCAUUAGGGAAAUAACUUCAUCCCAGUUCUGGAAAUGCUUUUGACCUGAUGGGGAAGAGGAAGGAAACCCAACUUGGUUCACACUCACUGGCAAAGAUGGCGAAACUGAGUCAUGGAGCACCAAAGAGCUCUCCAAAGUCUUCUGGCAUCAGAACCCAGAUCUAAACACCACAACACAAACAGGUGAGUGGAGUUUUGCUCUGCUUGCUGAUGGUCCUCCAUCCGGGGUCAACAUACUCACUCGACACCAUGAAACCAGCCCUGCUCAAUCUGAUCUGUGCUGGAAGAUCCAGAAGGACAAAUCUGUCCCUAUCCAAAUGCCACAUGAGACUGUGGCCUCAGGGAUCCCUUGGCAUAAUAUUGGCCAGCAAAAGGUCACAGCCUCCCAAAUAAGCAGUGUGUGAGCAAAAAAGCUCCAAGUACCCUUUGUAGCUAAAGGGAAAAGAAUUUCUCUUUGUACUCUCUUUUCAGUCCAUACAAAAAUAUGGCGCUCUCUCUUCAGCAUCCCUUAGACCCAAAUCUGAAAAAGAGAGGAAAAGGAGGACUAAAGCCCUCUUCCUCUUUGAUUCCAGUCAAUUGUGAAUUUUCAGCAGAGGAAGUACAAGAGUUAACUGGGAAAAGCAGUAUUUCUACCUGGUAGGCUUUCAACAAUUAAUAAACACCUGUCUAAUUAAUCAAUAUAAAAUUCCA